AUGGACGAUUGCCUGCAUAUUUAGCACUGGGUGGCCAACAAUUCUCAUCCCUUCCGGAAAGACGUUCUUGUUGAGCCCAUUGACAUUCGAAGGCCCCUGUCUUUACGCCAGCGUCCAUGUUCGGGUCGAAGGAAAUGUUGUGGCACCUGACAAAUUGUGGACCUCCCAAAAUACCACUAGUUGGAUCACAUUCAGAGGCAUCACUGCUUUCACCGUCGAUGGUAAUGGCCAGAUUGACGACCGAGGUUCCGUCGGAAAUGUGAUGACGUGCCUUCCAUAAUACUUUCGAAAAAGAGAAGUUGUUUUGUUUAGUUUGUUUUCUAUCAAAGGCAAGUUGUAUAUUUGAUAAUUAGGAAUCCCACCUUUUUUUGUGGUGUCUCGUAAUUGCCAGAUUAAUCAUUGUUCUUAUGACAGGCAUUUGGUAUUUACGCUGUGCGGAUUUGACCAUCGCGGGCGUCUCCGGAAGACAGCCCGACUGAUGGCAACAAUUAAAAUGUCCCAACCCAACCUGAAUUUUUUAUGGAUCUUCUUCAAUCUCCAGGAACCAACCCAUAUUUAUUUAAGGAAAGCAAGCUACAAGUGAACAUGGAGAGGACUGUCAGAGCUCAAGAAGCAUUAAUA